UUGUCCGCUCGAGCCUGGCCUUGCAAAGCUAACUGGUUACCAGCAUUGUGAUCGUUAAUUGCGGCUAGACGCGGUCUAAAACGUGAUAAUCUUCCGCGCGUAGAGUUAUUCAAUUCACUUGAUGUCGUUUCUGUAGUGACAGCGUCUGAGUAUCGUGUAGAAGGAUAAGGUGGACACGCCCUUUCAGGAGAAGAAAGGGAGUAGUUGCUUCGGCGAUAGUUCGUGCAACCCUAAUCGUUAAUGAACUCCGCAAUAGGCCCAUCGGUGUGGCGAGAAUCCAGCCCAAGUGGUAAUGUGCAUUGACACUUGGCUGUACUCACUUCGGCACCUGUCAACUAAAUACUCUAUAGCGACCGAAGGUGGUUAGUUAUGCGGGAUCCAUCAGGCUCUGCUCGAAAGCCUCCUCCAGCCCCC
rnacentral:sRNA from 1 species